rnacentral:rRNA from 1 species
CGACCGGCGCACGGGUGAGUAACGCGUAUCCAACCUGCCCACCACUUGGGGAUAACCUUGCGAAAGUAAGACUAAUACCCAAUGAUAUCUCUAGAAGACAUCUGAAAGAGAUUAAAGAUUUAUCGGUGAUGGAUGGGGAUGCGUCUGACUAGCUUGUUGGCGGGGUAACGGCCCACCAAGGCAACGAUCAGUAGGGGUUCUGAGAGGAAGGUCCCCCACAUUGGAACUGAGACACGGUCCAA